CGAAUUAAUUUCUGUGAGGAGUUCCGUGACUCUUGUUUUUUUAGUAUCAGUGUUAUUCCUACUUUGGUGAUUGAAUAUUUUUGUGAAGGGUGCUGAACAGACGGCAAGCUGGCGCACAUAAAUUUUUCGCAGUACAUGGGAGACAUGGAGAUGCAGGAGUAUAAGGUUUUAACAGGCGU